rnacentral:rRNA from 1 species
AUACAUAUAUAUAAAAAUUAUACUCGCCUGUUUAACAAAAACAUGUCUUUUUGAGUUGAUUUUAAAGUCUAACCUGCCCACUGAAUAAUUUUUAAAUGGCCGCAGUAUUUUGACUGUGCAAAGGUAGCAUAAUCAUUAGUCUUUUAAUUGAAGGCUGGUAUGAAUGGUUGGACGAAGUAUAAGCUGUUUCAUAUAAAUUUAUUAUAGAAUUUUAUAUUUUAGUAAAAAAGCUAAAAUUUUAUUAAAAGACGAGAAGACCCUAUAAAUCUUUAUAUUUAAUUUUAUUUAAUUUUUUUUGAUUUAUUUAAUUUUAAUAAUAUUGAGUAUUUUGUUGGGGUGAUGUUAAAAUUUAAUUAACUUUUAAUUAAAAAAAAUCAUUAAUUUAUGAUUUAUUGAUCCAAUAGUAUUGAUUAUAAGAUUAAGUUACUUUAGGGAUAACAGCGUAAUUUUUUUUAAGAGUUCAUAUCGACAAAAAAGUUUGCGACCUCGAUGUUGGAUUAAGGUAUAAUUUUGGGUGUAGCUGUUCAAAUGUUAAGUCUGUUCGACUUUUA